rnacentral:rRNA from 13 species
GCAUAGACAGCUAGGAGGUUGGCUUAGAAGCAGCCACCCUUUAAAGAAAGCGUAAUAGCUCACUAGUCGAGUCGGCCUGCGCGGAAGAUGUAACGGGGCUAAGCAAUAUACCGAAGCUGCGGCAGCACGUUUACGUGCUGGGUAGGGGAGCGUUGUGUAAGUGGAUGAAGGUGAGUUGUAAAGCUUGCUGGACAUAUCACAAGUGCGAAUGCUGACAUGAGUAACGAUAAUGGGAGUGAAAAACUCCCACGCCGGAAGACCAAGGUUUCCUGUCCCAUGCUAAUCAGGGCAGGGUAAGUCGGCCCCUAAGGCGAGGCAGAAAUGCGUAGUCGAUGGGAAACGGGUUAAUAUUCCCGUACUUCUUACAAUUGCGAUGGGGGGACGGAGAAGGCUAGGUGGGCCUGGCGACGGUUGUCCAGGUUCAAGUAUGUAGGCGGAAAGUUUAGGUAAAUCCGGACUUUCUUAACGCUGAGAUACGAUGUCGAGCUACUACGGUAGUGAAGUCAUUGAUGCCAUGCUUCCAGGAAAAGCCUCUAAGCUUCAGAUUGUAAGGAAUCGUACCCCAAACCGACACAGGUGGUCAGGUAGAGAAUACUAAGGCGCUUGAGAGAACUCGGGUGAAGGAACUCGGCAAAAUUGUACCGUAACUUCGGGAGAAGGUACGCCUCUGUUUGUGAACACUUCGCGUGGUAAGCAAAUGGAGGCCGCAGUGACCAGGUGGCUGGGACUGUUUAUUAAAAACACAGCACUCUGCAAACUCGUAAGAGGACGUAUAGGGUGUGACACCUGCCCGGUGCCGGAAGGUUAAUUGAU